rnacentral:rRNA from 1 species
AUUGAACGCUGGCGGCAUGCCUUACACAUGCAAGUCGAACGGCAGCACGGACUUCGGUCUGGUGGCGAGUGGCGAACGGGUGAGUAAUGUAUCGGAACGUACCUUUCAGUGGGGGAUAACGUAGCGAAAGUUACGCUAAUACCGCAUAUUCUGUGAGCAGGAAAGCAGGGGAUCGCAAGACCUUGCGCUGAUUGAGCGGCCGAUAUCAGAUUAGCUAGUUGGUGGGGUAAAGGCCUACCAAGGCUACGAUCUGUAGCGGGUCUGAGAGGAUGAUCCGCCACACUGGAACUGAGACACGGUCCAGACUCCUACGGGAGGCAGCAGUGGGGAAUUUUGGACAAUGGGGGCAACCCUGAUCCAGCCAUGCCGCGUGAGUGAAGAAGGCCUUCGGGUUGUAAAGCUCUUUCGGCCGGGAAGAAAUCGCAUCAGCUAAUACCUGGUGUGGAUGACGGUACCGGAAUAAGAAGCACCGGCUAACUACGUGCCAGCAGCCGCGGUAAUACGUAGGGUGCGAGCGUUAAUCGGAAUUACUGGGCGUAAAGCGUGCGCAGGCGGUUGUGUAAGACAGGCGUGAAAUCCCCGGGCUCAACCUGGGAACUGCGCUUGUGACUGCACAGCUAGAGUACGGCAGAGGGGGGUGGAAUUCCACGUGUAGCAGUGAAAUGCGUAGAGAUGUGGAGGAACACCGAUGGCGAAGGCAGCCCCCUGGGCCGAUACUGACGCUCAUGCACGAAAGCGUGGGUAGCAAACAGGAUUAGAUACCCUGGUAGUCCACGCCCUAAACGAUGUCAACUAGGUGUUGGGUGGGUAAAACCAUUUAGUACCGUAGCUAACGCGUGAAGUUGACCGCCUGGGGAGUACGGCCGCAAGGUUAAAACUCAAAGGAAUCGACGGGGACCCGCACAAGCGGUGGAUGAUGUGGAUUAAUUCGAUGCAACGCGAAAAACCUUACCUACCCUUGACAUGUCCAGAAGCCCGGAGAGAUUUGGGUGUGCCCGAAAGGGAACUGGAACACAGGUGCUGCAUGGCUGUCGUCAGCUCGUGUCGUGAGAUGUUGGGUUAAGUCCCGCAACGAGCGCAACCCUUGUCGUUAAUUGCCAUCAUUUAGUUGGGCACUUUAACGAGACUGCCGGUGACAAACCGGAGGAAGGUGGGGAUGACGUCAAGUCCUCAUGGCCCUUAUGGGUAGGGCUUCACACGUCAUACAAUGGUCGGUACAGAGGGUUGCCAAGCCGCGAGGUGGAGCCAAUCCCAGAAAGCCGAUCGUAGUCCGGAUUGCAGGCUGCAACUCGCCUGCAUGAAGUCGGAAUCGCUAGUAAUCGCGGAUCAGCAUGUCGCGGUGAAUACGUUCCCGGGUCU